UCAAAACAAGCAAAAAUCCUAAUUGCUAUUCACCGUAACAAAUUACCACCUCCCAAACUUCUGCUUCUUCUUCUUCUUCUUCUUCUUUGAGGUGCUCUCUUCUUCCCCUCUCUGAAUUUAUAGCAAAAUUUUACUCCAAAUUCAAAAGAUGGAUGAUAUUCCUUUGACAAUUAUACUCCAUUAUGCUGGUCAGUGGGAGUGCAAACCACACAUGAAAUAUGUUGGUGGUACUGUUAGGAUUUUCGAUAACAUACCUGCUGAUGUUAAUGGAAACUACAUGAGAAGGGUUAUUGAGAGCUUAGAUUAUGAGGACAUUGUCAAGAUACACUAUUAUGAUUUAUGAGACUGGCUUGAAGAUAUUAUUAUUUGAAGGAAUGGGUGUUUUACUCUUUAAAUGAUAUUUUGGAUGAAAGAUGAUUUUUCCAUAAUUUUUUGUGAAGCCUUGUCAAUUUUGUUAAGGGUUUUAUGCUUUUGUAUGGACUGUAAUAGGGUACGUACUAUGCUCAAGCCACUAUUUUUUUUAUUUUUUUAUUUCCAGUUAUGUAAGGCGUAAGAUAUAUACAUCAUGCACCAUUGUUAUAGUUUCAUCUAUCAGAACUACUGUAGCUGUUGGUUCUGCCACUACUACUCUCUUGCUUCUACUUCUGGUCAGACUUAUGUUAUGCCAUUUAUUACUGGAGGCUGGCUAUGUUCCACUAUCUAAUGUUAAUAUGCAGAUUGCAGAGCUCAUCUUAUAUUUCUCUAUAUGAUGUUAAUAUGCAAAUCUCAUCUUCUGGUUUCUCUAAAUUUAAUGUUAU